GGAAAUAUGGAUUACUCGGCGAGCCAUUCCGGAAGACGGGACGGGAAGGAACCAGUUUGCGAUCAAGGAAGCCGUUAGUGUUUGGUGUUUUACUUUCCGUGGGAGGUUGCCUCCAUAUCUAAUGGAACUGGCAACAAACAUAUUCUGAUCUGAUCCUGCCGGAAACCAUGCGUCCCCGUGUGGUCUCGCGUGGCUUCCGUAGAACCCAAGGAAGCAGCCUCUCGUACUCCGGUAAACAUCAAUCCGUCGGAGGUUCAAGAUCGUCGCCAAGGUGUCGCAUCCGGGUUUUGAUCAGCGCGUCGAGGAGCAAAAGUCCAACACGGCCAAGAUGCUGCCACGGCCACCUCCAACAUCCAAGCCGGAAGCUGCGGUCAAGGCAAAU